UUGUUUGUUUAGCAAGGCUUAGAACCUCGAAUUACAACCACAAAUCUGUAAUUGCGGAUUCUCGCAUCAACAAACAUCAUUGAAUUCCGUGAAAUCACGACAGUCCAAAUCUAAUCCAGGAACAUACCUCCAGAGAUGUCUUCAUUCGGGGGAUACGACACUAGUCUUAACCAUAUCUUUUGUCGGAAGAUUCAGGAGAACAUGGAAGAGCAAAGAUUCUAGCAAAUCUCUUACCCAAUCAACUUCAUCACCAGAUCUUUUGUCGGAAAAUUCAGGAGAACAUGAUCGUUUGGUACGAAUACAAGAUCUGGUGAGAAUGGACGAAGAAGGAAAGAGAGACGUGUUCGUACCAAACGAUCAUGUUCUCCUGAAUCUUCCGACAAAAGAUCUGGUGAUGAAGUUGAUUGGUUAAGUGAUUUACCAGAAGCUUUGCUCGUUCAUGUUCUCCUGAAUCUUCCGACAAAAAAUGUGGUUAAGACUAGUGUCUUAUCCAACAAAUGGAGAAAUAUCUGGAGGUAUGAUCCUGGAUUGGAUUUGGAUAAUCGUCAUUUCACGGAUUUGGUUAAGAAGAUCAUAUGUUUGUCUUAAAUGUUUCAAUUGAACCAAAAAUGUAAUAAGGUUCGUGUAAGAACCAAGGAUUAAAAUUUCCAGAAACUCUUUAUUUAUGUGAACUAUGUGCUUUCUUUUCAUUGUGGUGACUUUGAAUGUCUUGUAGAUCGUAAGACAUCUUAUGUUUGGCCUAAAUGUGUAAUGUUGUUACUUCUUUUGAC
rnacentral:sRNA from 1 species